rnacentral:rRNA from 1 species
CGAGUGGCGAACGGGUGAGUAAUGUAUCGGAACGUGCCCAGUAGCGGGGGAUAACUACGCGAAAGCGUAGCUAAUACCGCAUACGCCCUACGGGGAAAGGGGGGAUCGCAAGACCUCUCACUAUUGGAGCGGCCGAUAUCGGAUUAGCUAGUUGGUGAGGUAACGGCUCACCAAGGCGACGAUCCGUAGCUGGUUUGAGAGGACGACCAGCCACACUGGGACUGAGACACGGCCCAG